rnacentral:rRNA from 1 species
GUAUUGUCAAGAUCUAACAAUCUUUAUCCAUAUUUGACAUUGGAUUAAGGCAAUCUAUGGCACAACUGGAUAAAUCAAUCUUACGAACCUGAGAAACGGCUACCAAAUCUAAGGAAGGCAGCAGGCGCGUAAAUUACCCACUUCCAUUUCGGGGAGGUAGUGACGAAAAAUAACAAUACAGGACUCAUAUUAGAGGCCUGUAAUUGGAAUGAGUACAUUUUAAAUCCUUUAACAAGGACCUAUACUUGUAUUUAUGCAUAUUCCUCCUAUUUAAACCUGCUUCAGUGCUCUUCAUCGAGUGUUGUUGUGGGCCGGUACAAUUACUAUGAACAAAUUAGAGUGCUUAAAGCAGACUCCAAACGUCUGAAUAUUCGAAGGCGAUCAGAUACCGCCCUACUUCUAACCAUAGAUGAUGCCAGCUAGCAAUUAGGUGUAUCUACUAACAUGGCUCUCUCAUUCGCUUCCCGGGAAAUCAAAGCUUUUAGGCUCCGGGGGAAGUAUGGUUGCAAAGCUGAAACUUGACGGAAGAACACUUUUAUUUAAAAAGGUAACAGAUCUAGU